rnacentral:rRNA from 1 species
CAGAGGGUGCAAGCGUUGUUCGGAAUUAUUGGGCGUAAAGCGCGUGUAGGCGGCUUUGCAAGUCGGGUGUGAAAGCCCUCAGCUCAACUGAGGAAGUGCGCCCGAAACUGCAGAGCUUGAGUACCGGAGAGGAUGGCGGAAUUCCCCAAGUAGAGGUGAAAUUCGUAGAUAUGGGGAGGAACACCGGUGGCGAAGGCGGCCAUCUGGACGGAUACUGACGCUGAGACGCGAAAGCGUGGGUAGCAAACAGGAUU